GGAGGAAAAGAAACCAACAGGGAUUCCCUGAGUAACGGCGAGCGAAAAGGGAAGAGUCCAGCGCCGAAUCCCGCGCUCUUUGGGCGCCGGGAAAUGUGGCGUUUGGGAGUGAGCGUGCCGGAGGUCGGCCCAGCAGCAAGUCCCCCUGACCGGGGCUCUUUCCCAGAGUGGGUGCGAGGCCCAUAGCUGCUGGGCUUCUUCCGGAUGCGAUCUCCUCGGAGUCGGGUUGCUUGGGAGUGCAGCCCUAAUCGGGUGGUAAACUCCACCUAAGACUAAAUACUGCCGUGAGACCGAUAGCAAACAAGUACCGUGAGGGAAAGUUGCAAAGAACUUUGAAGAGAGAGUUCAAGAGUACGUGAAACUGCUCAGAGGAAAACAGGUGGGCCCUCGAAAUCCUGUGGCGGGAGGAUUCAGUCGAGAGGUCCGGAGGCGUGCCGAGGCGUUGACAGAAUGGAACCCGCGACCGGGCCUCCUCGGUGUCGCUCUUUCGGAUCGACCGACGCAUUUCUUUCCCGCCCGUAGGACGCCGCAACGGGUUGGCGGGACGGCGUUAAGGACGGGAGCGGCAGGUGGCCGGUGGUUCUCCUCGUGGGAGCCGCCGGUUGUUAGCCAUUCCGUCGGACGGCCGUACCCCGACCGUGGUGUCGCGAGGCCCUUUUGGGCCUCUUCGCCUCCUCCGUAGGUAGCGAGCGGACGUAGCAGGUGAGGCCCUGUCUAGGUGGGCGCACGGACUCGCUCCGUGGCCCGUCUCUCAGGGUCCCCGUUGGCUGCGCGUGGCUCGUCGGAGUGCUGGUGGUUAGCGGCGAGUAGAUCGGUCACCCACCUGACCCGUCUUGAAACACGGACCAAGGAGUCUAACAUGUAUGCGAGUCAAUGGGUCUCGUUAAAGCCCAUGGGCGCAAUGAAAGCAAAGGCCGUUCACGGCUGAGUUGGGAUCCCUUCCCCAUGCGGGAGGGGCGCACCAACGGCCCGUCCCGUCCGAUUUAUCGGUGUGGCGGAGUCCGAGCAUACACGUUGGGACCCGAAAGAUGGUGAACUAUGCCCGGGCAGGACGAAGCCAGAGGAAACUCUGGUGGAGGUCCGCAGCGGUUCUGACGUGCAAAUCGAUCGUCAGACCCGUGUAUAGCGGCGCAAGACCAAUCGAACCAUCUAGUAGCUGGUUCCCUCCGAAGUUUCCCUCAGGAUAGCUGGCGCUCGAAGAUCAGUCUCAUCCGGUAAAGCGAAUGAUUAGAGGCCUUGGGGCCGAAACGACCUCAACCUAUUCUCAAACUUUAAAUGGGUGAGAAGUCCGCCUUGCAUGACUGAAGGCCGGACGUGACGGAUGAGAGUGCCCAGUGGGCCACUUUU
rnacentral:rRNA from 1 species